rnacentral:rRNA from 1 species
GAUGAACGCUAGCGGCAGGCCUAACACAUGCAAGUCGAGGGGUAGAAGCUUUCGGGCUUUGAGACCGGCGCACGGGUGCGUAACGCGUAUGCAAUCUGCCUUGUACUGAGGGAUAGCCCAGAGAAAUUUGGAUUAAUACCUCAUGGUAUUUUUUGUUGGCAUCAACAGAUUAUUAAAGAGAUUCGGUACAAGAUGAGCAUGCGUCCCAUUAGCUAGUUGGUAUGGUAACGGCAUACCAAGGCUACGAUGGGUAGGGGUCCUGAGAGGGAGAUCCCCCACACUGGUACUGAGACACGGACCAGACUCCUACGGGAGGCAGCAGUGAGGAAUAUUGGUCAAUGGUCGCAAGACUGAACCAGCCAUGCCGCGUGUAGGAUGAAGCAUCUAUGGUGUGUAAAACUACUUUUUGUACGGGAAAGAAA